UACGUAGGGGGCAAGCGUUGUCCGGAUUUAUUGGGCGUAAAGAGCGUGUAGGCGGCUUUACAGGUCCGUUGUGAAAACUCGAGGCUCAACCUCGAGACGCCGGUGGAAACCGUAAGGCUAGAGUCCGGAAGAGGGGAGUGGAAUUCCUGGUGUAGCGGUGAAAUGCGCGGAUAUCAGGAAGAACACCCGUGGCGAAAGCGGCUCUCUGGAACGGUACUGACGCUGAGACGCGAAAGCGUGGGGAGCGAACAGG
rnacentral:rRNA from 1 species